AGAGUUUGAUCCUAGCUCAGGAUGAAUGCUGGCGGUAUGGAUAAGGCAUGCAAGUCGAACGGCCCGCAAGGGCAGUGGCAGACGAGGUAGUAACACGUACGAACGCACCCCAUAGUCUGGUAUAGCCAGCCGAAAGGUUGGGUAAUCCCGGAUGGUCCCGUAAGGGUAAAGAUUUAUCGCUAUGGGAGCGGCGUGCGCAAUAUCAGCUUGUUGGUGAGGUAAUGGCUCACCAAGGCGACGACGGGUAGCUGGUCUGAGAGGAUGAUCAGCCACAUUGGAACUGAGACACGGUCCAAACUUCUACGGAAGGCAGCAGUGAGGAAUUUUUUGCAAUGGGCGCAAGCUUGACAAAGCAAUACCGCGUGAGGGAAGAAGGCCUGCGGGUUGUAAACCUCUUUUCUCGAGGAAGAAGUUCUGACAUUUAUUCGAGGAAUAAGCAUCGGCUAACCCUGUGCCAGCAGCCGCGGUAAUACAGGGGAUGCAAGUGUUAUCCGGAUUUAUUGGGCGUAAAGAGUCUGUAGGUUGAUAUAUUGAGUUUUUUGUUAAAUAUUUAGGCUUAACCUAAAAAAUGCAAAAGAUACUAAAUAUCUAGAGAAUAAUAGAGGUAAAGGGAAUUUUCAGUGGAGCGAUGAAAUGUGUAGAGAUUGAAAGGAACACCGGUGGCGAAAGCGUUUUACUGGCUUAUUCUGACACUAAGAGACGAAAGCUAGGGGAGCAAGCGGGAUUAGAUACCCCGGUAGUCCUAGCCGUAAACGAUGGAUACUAUGUAUUGUUUUUUAGAAACAAUAUUCAAGCUAACGCGUUAAGUAUCCCGCCUGGGAAGUACGCUCGCAAGAGUGAAACUCAAAGGAAUUGACGGGAGCCCGCACAAGCGGUGGAGCAUGUGGUUUAAUUCGAUGCAACACGAAGAACCUUACCAGGGCUUGACAUGAAGAGAAAUUUUUUGAAAAAAAGAUGUGCUACGGCCUCUUACACAGGUGGUGCAUGGCUGUCGUCAGCUCGUGUCGUGAGAUGUUGGGUUUAGUCCUAUAACGAGCGCAACCCUUGUUUUUAGUUAAUUUACUAAAAAGACUGCCGGUAAUAAAUCGGAGGAAGGUAAGGAUGACGUCAAGUCCUUAUGCCCCUUAUGUCCUGGGCUACACAUGUGCUACAAUGGGUAUGACAAAAAGUUGCUUAUUUGUAAAAAUUGGCUAAUCUAUAAACAUACCCCAAGUUCAGAUUGUAGACUGCAACUCGUCUACAUAAAGGUGGAAUCGCUAGUAAUCGCAGGUCAGCUAUACUGCGGUGAAUCCGUUCUCGGGUUUUGUACACACCGCCCGUCACACCAUGGAAGUUAGUUUUGCUCGAAGCCCUAUUAAAAGAUAAUAGGAUUAAAGUAAAAUUGGUAACUGGGGUGAAGUCGUAACAAGGUAGUUGUACUGGAAGGUGCGGCUG
rnacentral:rRNA from 1 species